rnacentral:rRNA from 1 species
AUGAACGCUGGCGGCGUGCCUAAUACAUGCCAGUCGAGCGAACAGACGAGGAGCUUGCUCCUCUGACGUUAGCGGCGGACGGGUGAGUAACACGUGGAUAACCUACCUAUAAGACUGGGAUAACUUCGGGAAACCGGAGCUAAUACCGGAUAAUAUAUUGAACCGCAUGGUUCAAUAGUGAAAGACGGUUUUGCUGUCACUUAUAGAUGGAUCCGCGCCGCCUUAGCUAGUUGGUAAGGUAACGGCUUACCAAGGCAACGAUGCGUAGCCGACCUGAGAGGGUGAUCGGCCACACUGGAACUGAGACACGGUCCAGACUCCUACGGGAGGCAGCAGUAGGGAAUCUUCCGCAAUGGGCGAAAGCCUGACGGAGCAACGCCGCGUGAGUGAUGAAGGUCUUCGGAUCGUAAAACUCUGUUAUUAGGGAAGAACAAAUGUGUAAGUAACUAUGCACGUCUUGACGGUACCUAAUCAGAAAGCCACGGCUAACUACGUG